CUCCGGUUGAUCCCGCCGGACCCGACUGCUAUCAGAGUGGGACUAAGCCAUGCGAGUCGACGUAGCAAUGCGUGGCGAACGGCUCAGUAACACGUAGUCAACAUGCCCAGGGGACGUGGAUAACCUCGGGAAACUGAGAAUAAACCACGAUAGGUCACGAUUUCUGGAAUGGAUCAUGGCCUAAAUCUACAUGGCCCCUGGAUUGGACUGCGGCCGAUCAGGCUGUUGGUGAGGUAAUGGCCCACCAAACCUAUAACCGGUACGGGCUCUGAGAGGAGAAGCCCGGAGAUGGGCACUGAGACAAGGGCCCAGGCCCUAUGGGGCGCAGCAGGCGCGAAACCUCUGCAAUAGGCGAAAGCCUGACAGGGCUACUCUGAGUGAUUUCCGCUAAGGGGAUCUUUUGGCACCUCUAAAAAUGGUGCAGAAUAAGGGGUGGGCAAGUCUGGUGUCAGCCGCCGCGGUAAUACCAGCACCCCGAGUGGUCGGGACGAUUAUUGGGCCUAAAGCAUCCGUAGCCGGUUCUGCAAGUCUUCCGUUAAAUCCAGCCGCUCAACGGAUGGGCCGCGGAGGAUACUACAGGACUAGGAGGCGGGAGAGGCAAGCGGUACUCAGUGGGUAGGGGUAAAAUCCUUUGAUCCAUUGAAGACCACCAGUGGCGAAGGCGGCUUGCCAGAACGCGCUCGACGGUGAGGGAUGAAAGCUGGGGGAGCAAACCGGAUUAGAUACCCGGGUAGUCCCAGCUGUAAACGAUGCAGACUCGGUGAUGGGCUAGCCUUGUGCCAGCCCAGUGCCGCAGGGAAGCCGUUAAGUCUGCCGCCUGGGGAGUACGGUCGCAAGACUGAAACUUAAAGGAAUUGGCGGGGGAGCA
rnacentral:rRNA from 1 species